CCUACGGGUGGCAGCAGUGAGGAAUAUUGGUCAAUGGCCGGAAGGCUGAACCAGCCAUGCCGCGUGAAGGUCAGUGCCCUAUGGGCGUUAAACUUCUUUUGUGCGGGAGCAAUCAUGGUCACGUGUGGCCAGACGAGAGUACCGUACGAAUAAGCAUCGCCUAACUCCGUGCCAGCAGCCGCGGUAAUACGGGGGAUGCACGCGUUAUCCGGAUUUAUUGGGGUUAAGGGGUGCGUAGGCUGUGAGGUAAGUCAGCGGUGAAAUGCCCCCGCGCAACGGGGUGAAGUGCCAUUGCUACUGCCUUGCUGGAAUGCGGAUGCCGUGGGAGGAAUGUGUGGUGUAGCGGUGAAAUGCAUAGAUAUCACACAGAACACCGAUUGCGAAGGCAUCUCACGAAUCCGCGAUUGACGCUGAUGCACGAAAGCGUGGGUAUCAAACAGGAUUAGAUACCCCUGUAGUC
rnacentral:rRNA from 1 species